GAAAAACUGUGUCGCGUUUAGACGAACUUGCAGAAAAUUCCAAAGGAGAAACUGCGAUUUGGUGCAGAGCCUCCACGCUGGUUCGCGAAAUUCAAGACCACGAAGCGCUUUACAGGUGUCUACGAGAGGCGAAAUAAGGCAACGUGAUGUGAUAGUUUUAAUCACCGUCAACAACGUUUCGGUCGAAUGGAAGUCGGUUAAGGGCCUCCGGCGAAUUUGCUGCCCGUCGAAAUAUACGAUAGGAUGUACCCAAGCCCUGAUAUGAAGCAAAGUAGCGUGGCACUACAUUCAUUCCGUAGAGACACAAUCAAGUAUCUUGGAGUCGUCCGAAUGGAAGUGACGAUGGGUGACCGAAAUAUUGCUCUCAACUUUUUUUGUGUUGUGCGCAAAGGUCGCCAAGAAGUUGUGCGCCUACAAGCAACUGAACGCCUUGGAUUGCUCUCGCGCAUCACUGGAACGCUGUGAAGAAACAGUGAAAGACUUCCCUCGCCUUUUUAGUGUGAUUGCCCGCGCGAAAAAGAAUCACAUGGUUCUUCAAAAAAACGGCGUGCCAGCCAUUUAGGCAGUUCGGCAUGUACCGUUGGCCCUGGCACAACCAUUACGCGGUGAGUUCGAGAGGAUGGAGCACGCGGGAAUCACCAGAAGAGUCACAGAACGUAUUCACUGGAUGUGUCCCUUGGCGAUUGUUCGGAGAAAUACAGGAAAAUUCAUCUCUUUUUUGACCCCAAGAAUCUCAAUGAUUGCUAAAGAGGGAGCACUGCAUGAUGAGCGCCGAAGGGAGAUUAAAGCAUACUUAACUGGUGCAAAUGCGUUAUCCUGCUUAGUCACGAACUGUGGAUUGCACCAAAUUCUCUCGGAUGACUGGACAUCGCAGAGUUACAUGUUCUCUACCCCGAUUGUUCAAGACCACUUUUUAUAAUUGCCUUUUCGGCAUAUUGUCCGCCCCCGAAGUGUUCCGAAAAACGUUCAUUGACGUAUUCGAAGGCCUUGCCGGCCUAAAGGUAUACGCGGGCCAUAUUCUGGCAUUGGGCACGUCGGUAGAAGGACACAAUGUACAGGGGGAUGGAAAGAAACGCGAACAGCGCGGCGCGCUGUUUUCAUCAUGCUCUGAUCUUGGUGUAAAAAAAAUAUGCUUCACCCCGUGAUACCUACACAAGGUAUCACGGGGUCGUAACAGCGACAAAGACGGCAGUUGGGCUAUAAAAGAGGUACCUUUUUUGGCAAACUGAAGCCCGAGGAAAUAAAAUUCGAACUACAAGAGAGAGAGAGAGUGGUUCGUGAAAGAAGAAAUAGAAAGGAGCGCUGUUUUCUGCCUCCCGUCAUGGGGGCGUGGCUCAGCACCCUACUACAAGAAACACACGCUGCACACUGAUAGCGACGAACAGAGUGUCGGUCGUCAGUCACCUGAUCUUCGGUAAGGCGAGUGGGUAUUUACACAUGCGGCAUCCAACAUUCCAUCCUUAUGGAUGGUGGCCCGUGAGUGCGGAAUGAUCCCAACUGUUCCUGUUUGCGCACUCAACCCUAUCAGAAAAAUCUAGCAUAAUCUGGAAGGUUCGCAGAUACUCGGGCGCGGUUCACGCCAGCCAGUGGUCUUACGUGUAACAGACCGGCUACAUAAAAGCAGCAAAAGGAGCGCAUGCGACAAUUUGAAUGACUGCCCUCUAAUCAAUAUUUCAAAAAUUUUAAAAGUUUUUAAUAAUCGUUUCAAUGCAACUUGAGCUAUAGUAUGAUGAACUUUAUUCAGGUCCUGAACAUCAACCCUUAGGUUGACUCAGGCCUUACCGCCGUGUCGUGCGCCUUCUGGACGGCCUGUACCUGAUAUCAAAGAGCUACACUGUGAAGUACUCUUUGCCACCAGUCUCUUUUCUUGUCACAGCCUGUGAAAGCCACCGGACAUUGCCAAAACAUAUGAUCCAGACAUUCACACAGGAACAAAUACAGAAGAUGACAGAUAACCCGAACGAAUAUCAGGUGGAUUACGCACUUCUGGUAGGAGGAACCAAUAUUGAGGAGUCGGCGAAGCAAUGUGAAGGAUACUUUAAGUACAAAAUACACGGAAGACCAGAGCAGAAGCGCUAUACAUCACAUGACUGCGCAAUUUACCCAAAAACUUCCUAAUGGGCAAAACGCGCCUUGUUUUUGGAGUGGAGAAAGGGCGGCUUUUUAUUCCAUAGGCGGCAAUAUUUUCACGCUAACCAGAAUUCUAUAUUGUCGUCCUUGGAGCUGGUCCUCUAAAUGAACACUCCGAAUAAAUCACAAGGAAAGUGUAUGCUAAAAAUGAAAGAAAUUGACCUGUGCAAUGAAACAUUGUGGAAUAAAAACGGUAUGGCCAUAUGU